UCGAGAAUCUUCGGCAAUGGGCGCAAGCCUGACCGAGCGACGCCGCGUGGAGGACGAAGGCCUUCGGGUUGUAAACUCCUGUCGAGGGGGAGGAAGGGGCAACCUUGACCGAUCCCUGGAGGAAGCACGGGCUAAGUUCGUGCCAGCAGCCGCGGUAAGACGAACCGUGCGAACGUUAUUCGGAAUCACUGGGCUUAAAGCGCGUGUAGGCGGAUCGCCGCGUCGGCUGCUGAAAUCCCCCGGCUCAACCGGGGAACGGGCACCGAUACGGGCGGUCUCGAGGGGGGUAGGGGGGUCUGGAACUUCCGGUGGAGCGGUGAAAUGCGUUGAGAUCGGAAGGAACGCCCGUGGCGAAAGCGAGGCCCUGGACCCUUACUGACGCUGAGACGCGAAAGCCAGGGGAGCGAACG
rnacentral:rRNA from 1 species